UAGUUUUUAAUUAGUGGAGGGACAGACCCCACUUAAUGCAGAUUAUAGCUUCUCUGUGCUUUGGUAGGUCAUUCCAUUACUCAGUGGAUAGGCUUUCAUUGUGAACCUUUCUAUAUUUUCCUAGGCUGAUCCUGGAAUACAUAAAAUCUGGGCCUUUUGAGGUUGAGAGUUUUGCCAGAUCUCCUAGACUUUGCUAGUAUUUGUAUUUCUUUGGCAGUCUUUUCACUAACUUCCUGUUGCCUCCAACUCAUACUGAGGCAUUGGAGAAAGACUGUGCUUGGGCCUAAAUCUCUUUGUGAUCCUAAAUGUAUAUGUCAGAGCUUAUAUGAUUUUUGGAGGAGAUUUGAUAUAGGCAGUUAGAAAUACCAAAGCUGAUAGGGCCCAGGGGUCCUCAAACUAUGUCCAGCGGGCUAGAUGCGGCAGCUGAGAACGAUUAUCCCCCUCACCCAGGCUAUGAAGUUUCUUUAUUUAAAGGCCCACAAAACAAAGUUUUUGUUUUUACUAUAGUCCGACCCUCCAACAGUCUGAGGGACAGUGAACUAGCCCCCUAUUUAAAAAGUUUGAGGACUCCUGUUUAGGCCUUGGGAAAACAAAGGUCAAACUAUUUUAAAGAAGGAGAAGAGGAGCAAGGAAGGGCUGUGAAGAAUGAGAAGGGAAGAGAAAAUGAAGGGGGAAUGAGGGGAAAAGAGUCAAGAGGAAAUAGAUGCAGAAAGAAUGACAAAAAAAAAAGCAGAGAAAAGAAAAGAGAAAAGAAGAGGAAAAAACAAAUAAGAAGACAAGGGAUCAAAGUUUUAUUGUUCUUUAUGUUCCUAACACCUAAACCUGUCAGUAUGAUCCCAUAUCCCUUCAAAACUCUGUGUCUUUUCACCAUUAUUCUCACUAUUAGAAACAAAGAACUUUAUUCUCAGAUACCUGCCUAGCCAAACUAACUUGGUCUCAAUUUUCAUAAGUAGUCAAAUUUAAUGUAUUAUUAUUCACUUGACAAAUAUGAACCUUCAUCUUGGGAGUCCUUUCAGCCACAAAAACCAGCAAGGUCCCCCUCUAGGAGUUCCUAGCUCCUUAAACUUCUGCUGACCCAGGUGCUGACUCCGAAAGAAAUAGAAGGAUGUGAUUGACUACCGUCUAAACAUUUCAGGUAUUGCCCGAUUUUCCAGUGUAUCUUAAAAAGCUUGAAAUGAGGAACAGCACAGAAUCAAACUAAGAAGAUGGAGGGUAUGUCAGUAUGACAAAGAAUGAGACAAUCCCUCUCAGAUUGUAGAGAAGGGCAUGAAUGUGAAGAGUUCUCAUUUAGAGACAAAGGGAAAAAAAGGUCUUGCAAGAAGGAUAUGGAGAAGGGAAAGACAUCUGGAGAGAGAGGAGCUGAAGAUAUGAAAAAAAAAAAACUAUAGAGGAAAUUCAUGAGCAUAUGAAGGGUCAUGAGAAAUUCCUGAAAGCAGAUGUCCAGAGGCAAACUGAUAAAAAGAACAAAUGAUGUUGAAAACUCAAAGAAAAUGGAAUGAACAAGAUGAUAGGAACAGCUUGGGCAUCAAUUGAAGAUCAGAGAACAGCAACUAAGAUGUGAAAUAAGGAAAAAGGAGAACAAAUCUCUAAAUGAGCAGUAGCUGCAUGGUUUAAAAAAAGUGGAAGAGAGGAAAUGAAAGCCUUUGAAAAAAAAGAAGCAGCAGAGAUCUGGGGAACUGGGGAGAUGAGAGAAAAUGUUCUGAGGGAUAAAGAACAGCUACAACUUAAGGGUUUACUGGAGGCAUAGUUGAGGAACUAUGACCAAUAGAAGGGUCUCCCUAUCUAACCCAAGUGGGAAAUGAAGUGUCACUUAUAGGCCAGACCCAACUAUUUACUGAUUGGCAUGGGAGCUUUUGAAUUACUCCAUUUCUUCUCUGGGCCAUUUUAACCAGGAGAUUUCCUCCUCCAAAGGUCUCAUUAAUAUUGGUGCUAGACUUAGUAUGGAACCCAAUUGGCCUUAGCCCACUGCAGUUCAGAAUUUCUGAACUUAAUUGAUCUGCUAGCAUCGGUCUUCCUGGUAACAAGAACAAUAAGUAUAUACUAUCAAACCCAGACAAGAGAAUAGCCUCUAAAAAUAUGUAGAAGAGACUGUUUUGGUUAUGAGAACAGAAUAGUUCAGCCAUGAAAUACAGGUGUAAUUACAAAAAAUGAGGAAAUUGAAACUAGUAGAUAAGAACAGCCAAAGAGUUAUGUAUGACAAAAAAAAGUGACAACUGAGAAGAGUGUGACAAGAUGCUGGAAUUGUCUAUAACAGAAAUGAAAGACUAGUACAGGAAAAAGGAGAAUCAAAGAAGACUGGAGCAGGGAGAAUGUAGCUGUGUGGACCUAUUUUCUCUGAGGAGAAAGAAAUAGAAGAUACUGGGAAGUAUGUGAUGAAGUCAUGAAAAGACAGAAAAGGAGAGGAGAAUGUAUGAAGAUGAUGAUAGGAUUAACAGAAACAGAAAACUGGAGAAACAAAACAAAUUGCUAAAGAGCUGUGAACAAAAGAGGAAGAAAAAGAAGCAAGUGAUACUGCAAUAAUUCAAAAAUCUUAUAAAAUAGGAAACUGAAGAGGACAUAGAAUAUAAAGGAGCAGGUUUAUGUAAAUAGCUGAAGAAUCAGAAAAAAAAAUAGAAAAGACAGGAGAAGACAAGACAAGAAUGGAGUAGGGAGUUGAGAGUGUCCAAGUAAUAAAACACAGAGAAGACAAGUAAAAGAUAUGAGAGUAGAGAAGGCAGGAGCAAAAAUUUUGAAAGUGUGAGGGACAACAAAAGAAAAUAACCAAAAAAGAACUCAUGAAUGAUAGAAGCAUAUGAAGAGUCCUGAAAAAAAUAAAAGGAACUAAAAAGAAAAGAAGAAAUGGAAAUUCUUGAAUAGCUGGGAAAAAAAAAAGAAAAGCCGGUGAAAAGGGGAAAUGUCAUUUAAACCUGAAGGUAAAAGACAAGGAAUCAUGAUUAAACGAGCAGAGCAGGAGGAGAAGGGAGAAUAUACAGGAACCAAGGAGAUAGGAGUUUUUAUGGAUCUUGAACAAUGGAGAAAGGAGAGACAAAGGAGAAAUGGAAGGUUGAAACAAAGCUAGGGAAAAAUGACAAUAGCUAAGAUAAUUGAAGAAACACAAGAGAUUGAAGUAGAAAAAUGAGAGCAGUUAAGGAGUUGUGAAUGGAGAAAAGAGCAGUUUGGAAGCCUUGGAGAAAAGCAAAGAGGAGAAAGAAGUUGAUGAGAAUGCAUCAGAGAAAUGGAAGCAUGGAGGGACCAAAGCAACAGAAUAAAGUUCCAUUGAGAAGAAGCAGAGGCUAUGGGAAUAGAAAAUGAGCACAGCUAAGGAGCUAUGAACAACAGAAAAGAGCUGAGGAGGAGGAAAGAGAAGUGUAGAUUAAAGCAGAUGAAGUAGAAUUAGGGAAAAAAUGAGAAGCAGAGCUGAGAACUGAAAAUCAGAACAGAUUGAAUCAGAAUGAAUUAAACAGUUGAAAAAGUCUGAGAGACAGAACAGCAGCUAAGGAAAAAGUCCAAGAAACAAUAAUUUAUUAAGCACGUGCCAGGCACUGUGCUCAGUAUUAAGGAUUUUUUCUUUAAAGGAAAAACAGAGGAAUUAGUGAAAACAACCAGAGAGAGAGAGUAGUAACUGAAGGAUUAUCUAUUAUAGAGGAAAGAAAAGAGUAGUAAAAAUUAAAGCAGGCUAAGAGCUAUGAAAAUCAAAAGAGGAUCAGAGGAAAAUGAAGAGGCAAAGGAGAAAAAGAAAAUGAACACAGAACAUUGAGAAACUCCUCAAAACAGAACAACUAAGGAGAAAGAAGCAGACAAAAGUGCAGCAGAAACACAAUAGCAGCUGAAGGGGCCUACAUAACAGAUGAAAGAAAAUCUAUAAAGGGGAAGGCUAGGCUUCUGAAACCUGAGUUUUGGGAGCAGCCAAAAAACCAAGAGUAGAAAAACUUCCAAAGAAAGGUGAUGGGAAGUGACAGAAAAGCUGUGAAAGGAAAAAGAAAAGCAAUGGAAAUUUAAUCAAGUAAUGAAAUCAGGUAAUUCAACAAAAAAUUGUUGAAUUAAGAAAAUGAAAUCAAAGGGAGCAGUAAAAGAACCAAGAACAGAAUGAACAGAACUGAGAAGAAAGGAUAAGCCAAAGAUAAUAGAACAGAAAAUUGGGAAGUGACUGAGUAGUUGUGGAAAAUAAAAAGAGAUGAAAAGAGACAAAGAUUAAUGGAAUGAUAAUACCAACCAGAGCUGCUAAGGAAAUUAGAAUGAGGAGAUUGGAGGCACUUAAGAACAGGAUACAAUUGAGAACAAAGAAGUAAAGGGGACUUCAAAGUUGAUAGAAGUGAAGAAAAUCUGUCAAGUCAAAGAAGACAAACUAUUGUGACAAAAAGCAGCAUCUAAAAUUUGAAAGAAAUGGUAGUUAGGAAACCAAAGCUUCAUCUGUAUACAGAAGGAAUUCUGCAAUGUAUGAAGGAUCUCUUAAAAAUCCUUCCCUUCAAUAUCUCUUUACCACCCUUCCCUCAACAUGCUCACCUAGAUAAUGGAGGCUUCCUCAGGGGUUGUGAUAGAGGACAGUGUCCUCUCAGCAUGAGAUGGUAUUCUUUUUCUGAUAAGACUUAGAGACUCAACACUAUCUCACUUCCCUGACCCCAGCAUGUCGGUGUUCAGAGCAGACCAUUCCUCACAGCUGUUCCCAUCUGAAGAAGCAAGUGAAAGCUGAAGUGAUGACCAGGGACCCAGUAGUCCCUCUUCCUUCUCCAGUGUGUUCAUAUUUUGUCUGCAUUUACCCCACUAUUUGCUUCUAAUUACUCUUUUUAGUCUCUCACAUUUUUCAUUUGCUGUUCUUUGUUCCUCCUCUUUCACCUCUUGCCAUACACUCUAGUCCUCUUGUUUAAAUGAGUCUCCUUUUCAAGUGAUUCCAACACAGUAGCACCCAUCCCAGCUAAUGUGUGAUUCCUGCAUCCUCUGUUGCUUCUCUUUCACAAGCUCAUUCUAUUGUAAUGAUUCAUGUAACUACAAUUUCUAAAUUUCCUUGUUCCUCCUUCCAUUGUCCUUUAUUUCUACAUUUUGUCUUGUUUCCAUUGCUUCAACUGUCACUUUAUUUUGUAUUUCUCUAUUACCUCCUUAGCCCAGCUCUGAAUUUUUAGCUGCCCCAACCCUUAAAAAUUCUAUAUUCCUCCUUUCCAAGCCCCCCUUUUUAAUUCACUCAAAUAUGUUUACAAGUUGUGUUCCAAUGCCUCAUUAUAGUAUGGAAAUGACUCUUGGUUUUUAAAGUAACAUGCUGGCAUGGUGCCAAGUCUGCUAGGACCUACCAUGUUCAAAUAUAUUUUCAACUCAAAAUUAUCUAAUUUCCAAGAAGCAUUCAGGGUUUGAGAAUAAGAAAUGAAAGAUCAGGGUCUUGUAGACUACAGAAACUCAUCCCUAUGUAUUAUAAAUUCAUUCUUCAAAUUGGGCAUACUCAGAUAAUUGGGAGAGCAUUAAGAAUACAAAAUUAAUUUUACCAGCCAGGAAAUGAGGUUUGCUGAUGCUGGAAUCAUACUUGAAUUAGCUGUCUUUCUGCAGUGAAAUGGCUUGUAAGAGUGUUAAGGGACAGGUCAAUUCUCUGAGAGCCUCCACAGCUGUGGAUCAUAACAUCUGAAGGAGUUGAAAGUCAGCCUUAGCUGACACAGGUAUUGUGGACUGGGAAUGAAAUCGAUUGGGAGGCAGAGGGAAGAAGAGAGAGGUCAGACAAAGCAACUGCUUCUCAGUCUCCUUGUAUCAUUCUCUCACAAGAGGAUAUCCAUUCUGGGUUGGAUCUCCAGUAGUCACUGUCAGGUGGCUCUCAUGAAUUCUAAGAGCUCUCCUGUGUCUUUCAACAUUAGAGCAAAAGAAAAUCUGUAUCCAUUUAUAAGAAAGAAUAUAAAUGAAGAAAUGAUGCACAAUUGAGAUGAUUCCAUAUAAAUUACUGAUGCUUCAAGUGGGAAAUGAAUAAAUAGACAUUAAAUCAUUAUUUCCUGAAGAAAUUUAAAUGAGAGAAAUUACCAUUGUUGCCAAAAUAGUCCAUAAACUUCAGCCAGAAACCAUUUGAUCUCUUAAACAGAUCAAUAAACUAAACAUGUCAGUUUAGAAUAAACAUUAAUUUGCAAGAUUUUCCAGAUAAAAGAUGGCAUAAUGAGAAGUAAUGGCUUAUAAAACAGAAGCAAUGGCAGAAAAAAUUAGAAAAAGUUAAGAAAUCUAAGAAAAGCUCACCAAAGGCACCGAAGAAUGCAAUUAGGACAACAGGCAAAAAUUGAAAAAGAUUUUAAUUUCUUUAAUACUUCAUCAAAGACAGCCACUCCAUUUGGAGUCAUUUAUGAAUUCUUUACAGAUAUUAAAAAUAAAAUUUAAAAGCAAUCAAAAAAAUCUUAAAGGAUAAAAAUGGCGUGCAAUUGAGGCAACUAAGCCUAAUAAGCUGCUGUUGCUCAAAAAUCAAAUAAGUAAAUAUUGAAAAACACUAUUUUCUAAAGAAAUUUAAAUCACUUGGAAAUAUGAGACCAAAAGAACAGUAACUUGAGCCAUCAAAUAACAAAAUUUCCUUGCUAAGAAGAAAAAUGGGACAGCCAGCUUAUAGUUUCUAACUUCUGAAAGAUAAGAUGUUUUAAGAAAUGACUCAUAAGCAAUGAAGAAAAGUUGAGAGAAUGAAAAAUCAUUUGAAGGGUAUUUGACUACCUUAUGGAAUAAAUUAUCUUCAAUGACAGUCAUCACAUUUGGAUUUUGACAUGAUCUUCAAUAUAAUGCAUGAAAAAAAAUUGAAGCACUAAAAAGAUGUCAAUAGAAUUGCUGGAUCAGAAUGUAUAUAGGCAGAAGAGAUCUUUAUUGAGGGUAACAUGAUUUUGAAGAUGUGGAGGAACUGAGAUUUGAAAUUUCUGAAAGAGUUGAUACUAAGUAUAUGUGGGAAAAGAUCUUUGACUUUUUAAAAAAGAUUCAUAAAGUAUCAAUAUACUUAUCUAUAUUCUUUUCCAAUCUCUACAGUCUUUAUGGAAACAAUAUAUGCACAGCAAGGCAUCCUUGAUGAGUGAAAAGGGAAAAGGCCUUUGCAACAAUGUUCCACAACAAAUAACAGCUGCUUAGUGAUAGAAUUUAUUGAAAGGUGCAGAAAAUAUGAAAUAUCACUUUGUUGCUUGUUGACUAUGAACACAUUUGAUUUGAAUUACUUGUUACCAUACAGGUUUUCUUCUGGCAAGAUAUCUCCCACAUAAGUCAAAACUGUACAAACUAGAUAACAAUAGAGGCAUUUUUGUUUCAUGAUAUAUCAAACAAGAAAUUGUGUUUUGAAAAGUAUUUGUCACUAUCAUGGAUCCAUGUAAAGUUGAAACUAAAAAGAGAUUCCUAUGAGAUUUUGCAAAUAUUCCCAUUUGUAAAUUAUUGAAAUCCAUUUAGAUUACUCAACUCUAGCAACAUUUAUGCAACUAUAUCUACUCAAAAUAAUGUGAAUGAUGGGCCAUCUGUAUGUGUGAUUCAUCCAGCUGCAUAUUGUGAUUAUGACCACAGGAACUCUUUAUUUUUUCCCAUUUAUCAAAAGUUAGAAUUGACUGCUUUUAUUACUGAUCUCAUUUAGGAGUCAAAACAGUGUUUCUACUCACAGAAUUGUAUGAGAAGAUGACAUCUGAUGAUAUCCCAACCUCACUCUGAAUCAAAGGCCUAGAUUUUAAAAUCAAUAUUAUUCUAGUGAUGCUUUGUGCUUCUGAGACAUACCAUGCCACAAUCUCUGAAAAAUGAAAGUUUCAGGAUAGCCAGCUGACAUUAGAGAAUGCAUUCUUCUCAAUCAUAGAGAAUGAAGAAGGUUGCAAUUUAUCCCCAGUGGAAGAGUGCAGUGUAAUAGUGUAAAAGUAUGGCUGAAGAAAAGUGGCAGGCUGGUAAUGGGACAAAAUGUAGAAAUAACUGAUAGAAAAGUUGGGGACUGCUGCUGCUUUUACCUCCCCUCUCCUACCCCAAUCAUAAGUUUCAUAGUGCCCCCAUGGAGAAUUUCUGGAAGGACAAAGACAAGAAUUGGUCUGAAUAGAAGAUGUAUAUAAGCUGAAAAUUGCACCACUAGAAAUAUCCACAUGAGUGAGCUUAAUUCAAUGAUCCACUUAUCUGCUAUCUUUAAUUCUUUUUAACUUGGCUUCUUCAUCCUUCUUAGCUCCUAUCUAUACACUCACAUUUUCAUAGCUUUCUCAGAUCCUUUCAUAGCUUCAGUUCUUCAGUUACUUUUAUCUCUAAUUCAAUUCUGCCCAGUACUAAAAUUUCUUUUGCUGCUUCCUCACAAUACAUAGAUUUAGUGAUGGAAAGCACUUUAGAUAUCAUUUAGUAGUUGUACUACUAGUUAUGAUUGAAUCCUAAUUACUCCUUUAUAAACUGUUCACUAUCCAACUUAUGUUGUACUUUUUGGUUCUCUUGCUUCCAUCAUCUUUGUCUUCUAACCUUGCCCAAGCAAUUACCUUCUCUCCUAACUUUCUCCUCUAAUACAGUCUUAUGCCAGCAUUUACCUUUCCAUCUCUUUUGAGGCUAUCAGAUCAAUAUUAUUGUUGCCCCUCCUCUCUGUCUUUCUCCCUUUCCCUUGUUCUUUUCCUCCCUUUUAUAUCUCCUCCUCUCCCUUCACUCUUUACCUCUUUUUUCUUUCUCUUUCACCCUGUUCUUUUCCCUUUGUCCCUCUCCUUCCCUCUCCUUUCACAUUCCUUUCUUUCCCUCCCCUUUCUCCAUCUCUCCCCUUCUCUUUUUGGCCUACUUUACCCUCCUUCCCUAUUUUAUAUUCUGUCUCAGUGCUGCCUUUAUCUCCCCCUUUCUAUUUCUUACCUCUCCUUUCCUUUCUUUCUCUUCUCUUUUCCAUCUCCUUUCCUUCUUUUUCUCUUCCUCACCCCCUCACUGUCAGUGGUAUGUUUUUCUUUAGUUUCAGGCACCACUUCCAUUCCUUUUAUGUCAGGUUUUUUCUUUGCAUUAGAUAGUCUCCAUCACACUAUCUCCUUUUAAAUGGACCAUAUCUUCUCAGCUCCUCACCUAUUCCAUUUUUCUUCUAUCAUCUUAGCUGAUUGUCUGCUUCUGUUGCCAAUUUGUCCAACUCCUUAGCCCAGACAUCUCCUUAACUGCUCCCACUCACUUUGCUGCUUCUAGCUAAACCUUUUGAUUGCAAAUUGUCCUCAUUACUGGAAGCUAUUUCUGGUUUCUCAGUUUAAUUUACCUGCCUCCAUUUCUAAUCUUUCCCCUCAGCUUUUCCUAUGUCCUCUGCUCCACCCUCUUCCAUAAUUACUCCAAUCUCCUAAAAUUCAUUCCUUCAAAUCUUUGCAUAUAUUUAGUUCCUCUAAUUUCAUUAACCUCUUCUCACUCAUCAAUUUUUCUUAUUUCCUCCUACAUCCUUAAUUUUUUCUUAACUUUUUGUCAUUUAUUCAGUUUUAUCUCUUCUAGAUUUUUCCCUCUGUUUUUGCUACUCAACUUUUAUCUCUUCUGCUUCUUACUUCAGAAAAUCCUACCUUCUCAGAUAUUCUUGUUUCUUAGUAUUUCUCAUCAGUUCUUCCUACAACGUCAAUUUCUCACACCAUUUCUUCAGGUCUUCACUCAGUAUUUAGUCUUAUACAUUUUUCUUUCCUAUCGAUUUUGUCCAAAUCCUUAGCAGUUCUUCACAUCAUUUACUAUAGCAGCAGUUACACAAUUUCCAUUCCAAACAAUUUUUUUUUCAUAAGCAUCCCUCAUAAACUUCACAUUAUUAUUAUUUUUUCUUUAUCUUCUUUGUUCUCUGCUGUUCUCAUUUCGGGUGUUUCUCUCCCUUCUAUUGCUUCCAUUUCCUUAGUUUCUCUUCUCAUCUUUAAUGUUUUUUUAUUCUUAAGCUAUCCCUCUCUUUAAUAUUUCUCCUCUAGAUUUCUAGAUUGAUAGAUUUUUCUUUCAUUUCUUCUAUGCUCUCUGGGUCUAUUUUCUAUCUCUGUCCCUGUCUCUCAUCUCCCUCUUUGUUGUGUCUGUCUCUCUGCCUUUCUAUUUUUUUCUCUACCUCUGUGUCUGUCUGUCUGUAACUAAUUGCCUCACUUCUAUUUCCCUUACCUUUGCUUCUUCCUCCAUUGCUGUUCCUGUCUCUUUUGUAUGCCAAUCAAGUUAAUCACAUAUCCAUUCCAUUUUUAUCUUUUUUUCUUUGUUGUUCUUAUCAUCCAUCUCAGAUCUACAAUAGCCAUGGGCAGUUGGAUUUUUCCCCAAGGUGAAACAUGCAGAAAGCAUAAAAUUUAGAAUGCACAAAAAUGCUACAUGCAGACUAGAAAGAAAUAAGGGGAAUUCAGAUACUAAAUGAGGAUCAAAGGUCCUCAGAGGUACUGAUGGCAGGAGGAAGAGAAAUGUGGGAUAUCAGGCAGGUGUGUGGAUGGAAAACAAAUGUCUAAUGAUUUCUUCCUUGCCUUUUGGUCCUAUAAAAUAAUCCCCAAUCCACCUCACUAUUCUUGCCUAUAUUUCCUCUUUUUACGCAGUUCAGUAAUAACUCCCACCAAAGAUGAGAAAUAACCUUGCUGCUGAUUUCUUUCAUAUGUAAAUGAGACCUCUUUGAUAGAGUAUAAAGAAUAUGGGAUGCUAAAUGGGUUACAACUAGAGUUCCCUUAAGUUACUACCUCUUCCAUUCUUAACAGUUCUUAUUUCUUAACUCUUCAUUUCUUUAGCUGUUCCCAUUUCCUCUUUACAUUUGUUCAGUUUCUUCCCUUUUCUCUUCUUCAUAAUUUUCUUAUAUUUCCUAAAGAAGUCCCAGUUCAUUUCCUUCUUCCACCUCAUUUUUUAUGCUCUGUUUUCCUAUCUUCUGCUCAGUGACUCUCAGCCCCUUGCCUUUUCCCAACUCUUUAGAUCUUCUGAGAUAAUAUUUGUAAAGCACUUAGUCAAGUGCCUGAUACAUAGACAAUGCCUAAUAAAUUUCUUCCUUCCUAUUCCCUCAA